UGGGGAAUAUUGCACAAUGGGCGCAAGCCUGAUGCAGCCAUGCCGCGUGUAUGAAGAAGGCCUUCGGGUUGUAAAGUACUUUCAGCGGGGAGGAAGGCGAUAAGGUUAAUAACCUUGUCGAUUGACGUUACCCGCAGAAGAAGCACCGGCUAACUCCGUGCCAGCAGCCGAGGUAAUACGGAGGGUGCAAGAGUUAAUCGGAAUUACUGGGCGUAAAGCGCACGCAGGCGGUCUGUCAAGUCGGAUGUGAAAUCCCCGGGCUCAACCUGGGAACUGCAUUCGAAACUGGCAGGCUAGAGUCUUGUAGAGGGGGGUAGAAUUCCAGGUGUAGCGGUGAAAUGCGUAGAGAUCUGGAGGAAUACCGGUGGCGAAGGCGGCCCCCUGGACAAAGACUGACGCUCAGGUGCGAAAGCGUGGGGAGCAAACA
rnacentral:rRNA from 1 species